rnacentral:rRNA from 1 species
AGUAAUGCUUGGGAAUCUAGCUUAUGGAGGGGGAUAACUACGGGAAACUGUAGCUAAUACCGCGUAGAUCGAGAGAUGAAAGUGUGGGACCUUCGGGCCACAUGCCAUAGGAUGAGCCCAAGUGGGAUUAGGUAGUUGGUGAGGUAAAGGCUCACCAAGCCGACGAUCUCUAGCUGGUCUGAGAGGAUGACCAGCCACACUGGGACUGAGACACGGCCCAG